AUAUGUUGUUUGUUUAUUCAGGUGGAAUGACAAAAUUAAUCUUUUGUUUUCUGUUAUCUUAAAACUUGAGGAUGGUGAUUGAUUGUCUUCGUGAUUGGUUAUUGUAUUACCAGUGCAUGGAUCAUUCACUGUGUUUCCGUAAAAUGCUAAGACUUCCUAAUAAUGAUGUAAUCUUUUUGAUGUUAUUCAUGUCAAUUUUUUUACGGUUCUGCAUUUUGAAAAUAUCCGGAUAAUGUUUUACGUCAUUAUUCGAAAGUCUUAACACCUUACAAAAACUACAUCAACUUGAACGAUUAGAUGAGAACGAUAGAGUUGUGUUGAAAGGGAUACUAGACAAUGCUGCUACACAAGUGGUUCAGUCUCACAUGAAGGGAAAAACUAGUCGAACUUUGCUGGCUGAGAAGAUUGGAUCUGGCGGUUCCAAAGGUGUAGUCCCAUGUCGGUCGACAGAAGUAUCGGCCAACUUUGGUUGUCAUUUUGGAAGAGUCGCGUAGCGUUGUCUCCCCCCAUCCUUGCUGUGAGACCGGAAAAGAGGCCAUUUUUUUUCCCGCAAGGACAGUGUUCCACUCUUUGUAGUAUCUCCGCAGUUAAUUUAUCCGGCAACUUGUCCACAUA